rnacentral:rRNA from 1 species
UACGGGGGGGGCAAGCGUUGUUCGGAAUUACUGGGCGUAAAGGGCUCGUAGGCGGCCAACUAAGUCGGACGUGAAAUCCCCAGGCUCAACCUGGGAACUGCGUCCGAUACUGGAUGGCUUGAAUCCGGGAGAGGGAUGCAGAAUUCCAGGUGUAGCGGUGAAAUGCGUAGAUAUCUGGAGGAAUACCGGUGGCGAAGGCAGCAUCCUGGACCGGCAUUGACGCUGAGGAGCGAAAGCCAGGGGAGCAAACGGG